ACGGGAGGCAGCAGUGAGGAAUAUUGGUCAAUGGGCGGAAGCCUGAACCAGCCAAGUCGCGUGAAGGAUGAAGGUAUUAUGUAUUGUAAACUUCUUUAGACGUAGAGAAAUAAGCGGGACGCGUCCCGCGAUGCUAGUAUACGUAGAAUAAGGAUCGGCUAACUCCGUGCCAGCAGCCGCGGUAAUACGGAGGAUCCGAGCGUUAUCCGGAUUUAUUGGGUUUAAAGGGUGCGCAGGCGGCCCUGUAAGUCAGCGGUUAAAUCGUGGAGCUCACCUCCAUCCCGCCGUUGAUACUGCAGGGCUUGAUUGCGGUCGAGGUUGGCGGAAUUCGCCGUGUAGCGGUGAAAUGCAUAGAUAUGGCGAAGAACUCCGAUUGCGUAGGCAGCUGACCAGGUCGUAAAUGACGCUCAUGCACGAAAGUGCGGGGAUCGAACAGGAUUAGAUACCCUGGUA
rnacentral:rRNA from 1 species